CCUCUCAACUCUUUCAAUCUUUCUAUUUCAACAGCUUUAAGCCUUCAAGCAUGGGAGAUUCUACCCCUCUCUCAUAGUCUCACUCAUGUUCAUUUUCAAGGCUUGAACCCAGCAAUCACCUCAUGAUGCUCACUUUCUCCUUUACCUCUUUGGUGUCACGACUUCUUUCCUUCACCACGACACAACCUUUGUUCAUGACAGUGACACCACAAAUAUGGCAGCAAGAGAACAAGCAGUCCUCCAAGUAUCCAAGACUCUAUAAAUAUCAAAGAAAUCAGUUCCUUAUUUGAAUUUUUGAAUGCUCAAAGAAUAUUUCGUCACUUUGUUAAACUCAGAUAAUAAAAUUAAGGAUAAGGCAACAAAGGAGAAGACCAAGACACGUAUUGCCAUUGAUUGGUCGAUUCAAAUUUUUUAUUUUGUUUAAAUUUUUAUGAACUAUUUAGUUGCUAUAAUAAUGACUCUAAUAAGUUUAGUAAUUGUGUUUGGAAUUUGGAUAACUGUAAUAUCUGGUAUAAUAUUUGGCCAAUGGGUUUUAAUUUGAUAUAGAUUUUUUUAAAUGAGUUAUAACCUAACCCUACCCAACCCAACCCUUAAUGUAAUUAGUAGGGUUGAUUUAUAUAUUAAAAAUGUUUUAAAUAGGUUAGAAUUCUGUAGUCCAAUGUACUUGGGUUGGUUCAUUCAAACAUCCUCAACCCGGCCAAUCCAACCCAUGCCCAGCCCUAGAAACUAAAAAUAGUUUAUGCAUGUAUACUACUCUACACUGUGACUUUUUCUAUUAUUAUUUUAUUAUAUUAUUAAUUUCUUUUUAAAUAUUAUUGUAAUUUAUACAUAUGUCAUGUAGCCAUAUAAAUAUAUGUUUAUGUCAAUAUUGUGUUUAGAUAUC